rnacentral:rRNA from 1 species
UGCGUAGGCGGUUAUACAAGCCUGGUGUGAAAGAUCGCAGCUCAACUGCGGGACCGCACUGGGAACUGUAUGACUGGAGUUCAAGAGGGGAAGCUGGAAUUCCUGGUGUAGGGGUGAAAUCUGUAGAUAUCAGGAAGAACAUCAGUGGCGAAGGCGAGCUUCUGGCUAUGAACUGACGCUGAGGCGCGAAAGCGUGGGGAGCAAACAGGAUUAGAUACCCUGGUAGUCC